AUAUAUUAAUAUAUAAGUAUAUUUAAUUUCCAAUUAAAAAGAGAUAUUAUA
rnacentral:tRNA from 1 species